rnacentral:rRNA from 1 species
CCUGCCGUUGCCGGCGACCGGCGCACGGGUGAGUAACACGUAUGCAACCUGCCCGUGGCAGGGGGGUAAGCGGGGGAAACCCCGUCUAAUACCGCGUAACGCGGCCUUGGGGCAUCCCAAGGCCGCCAAAGGGAGCAAUCCCGGCCACGGAUGGGCAUGCGGCGCAUUAGCUAGUCGGCGGGGUAACGGCCCACCGAGGCGACGAUGCGUAGGGGUUCUGAGAGGAAGGCCCCCCACACUGGUACUGAGACACGGACCAGACUCCUACGGGAGGCAGCAG